rnacentral:tRNA from 1 species
UCCCUGGUGGUUCAGUGGUGAGGACUCUGUGCUCCCAGUGCAGGGGGCCCAGGUUCGACCCCUGGUUGGGAAA